AUUGUUUUGUCACAACAUAUACCAAAAUUGGAAUAAUACAGAGAAAAUCAGCCUGGCCCCUUUGUAAAGAUAAUAUGCAAAUUCACAGAGUGUUCAAAAGAAAAU